rnacentral:lncRNA from 1 species
UUCCAGGGAACUUAUGCCCACUGCAAGAGAGGCUGACAAGGCUCCAUAUGGGUUCUACCACUCUCUGGGGUUUCUACUUUCUGGGGGUACAGAAAAUAGAAACAUGACUCAGAGUUCCUGCCUCAUGGAGUCUGGGAGCUUUCCUCCUCAUUGGAUCUGGGAGCUUCCAGGAACACAUCAAGGAAGAAGGAGAAAGCAAGCUGUUCUGCGGCACCAGAACAUAUGAAAAGGAAGCGCAGUUUUCCACACACAGUCGCUUCCCGUCUCAGACCCCAUGACUGCAGAGUUUCAGAAAGUAAACACUGUAGAUCCAAGCAGAGUGCCAGAUGGUGGGCUGAAGUAGAACCAGCUCACAGAGACUGGAACACACAGGGCUGGGAGCUCCUUGCUCUCUUCGUCUGCUUCCACCUAUUCAGAUGUCUCCAGGGUUCAGGAAUAGAAGCUUUCACUGAAGAGACAUCAGGCAUCUAAGGAUCGCUUGACACAGUGGAAUACCAGGCACACAGUGGGAAGCUUCUCCCAGUG